CCUACGGGAGGCAGCAGUGGGGAAUAUUGGGCAAUGGGCGCAAGCCUGACCCAGCAACGCCGCGUGAAGGAAGAAGGCUUUAGGGUUGUAAACUUCUUUUAUCAGGGACGAAGCAAGUGACGGUACCUGAUGAAUAAGCCACGGCUAACUACGUGCCAGCAGCCGCGGUAAUACGUAGGUGGCAAGCGUUAUCCGGAUUUACUGGGUGUAAAGGGCGUGUAGGCGGGAGUGCAAGUCAGAUGUGAAAACUAUGGUCUCAACCCAUAGCCUGCAUUUGAAACUGUACUUCUUGAGUGCUGGGGAGGCAAUCGGAAGUCCGUGUGUAGCGGUGAAAUGCGUAGAUAUUAGGAGGAACACCAGUGGCGAAGGCGGCUUACUGGACUGUAACUGACGUUGAGGCUCGAAAGCGUGGGGAGCAAACAGGAUUAGAUACCCCAGUAGUC
rnacentral:rRNA from 1 species